AUGUACAUGCCUACGACAUAACGUUAAUGCACCAUAUCCCAUUAGAACUCUGCAGUUAAGCACACUAAGGCUAGAGUAGUACUGGGAUGGAUGACCACCUGGGAAGUCCUACUAUUUUACAUA
rnacentral:rRNA from 1 species